GAUGAACGCUGGCGGCGUGCCUAAUACAUGCAAGUCGAGCGAACAGACGAGGAGCUUGCUCCUCUGACGUUAGCGGCUGACGGGUGAGUAACACGUGGAUAACCUACCUAUAAGACUGGGAUAACUUCGUGAAACCGGAGCUAAUACCGGAUAAUAUAUUGAACCGCAUGGUUCAAUAGUGAAAGACGGUUUUGCUGUCACUUAUAGAUGGAUCCGCGCCGCAUUAGCUAGUUGGUAAGGUAACGGCUUACCAAGGCAACGAUGCGUAGCCGACCUGAGAGGGUGAUCGGCCACACUGGAACUGAGACACGGUCCAGACUCCUACGGGAGGCAGCAGUAGGGAAUCUUCCGCAAUGGGCGAAAGCCUGACGGAGCAACGCCGCGUGAGUGAUGAAGGUCUUCGGAUCGUAAAACUCUGUUAUUAGGGAAGAACAAAUGUGUAAGUAACUCUGCACGUCUUGACGGUACCUAAUCAGAAAGCCACGGCUAACUACGUG
rnacentral:rRNA from 1 species